rnacentral:rRNA from 1 species
UGGGGAAUAUUGCACAAUGGGCGCAAGCCUGAUGCAGCCAUGCCGCGUGUAUGAAGAAGGCCUUCGGGUUGUAAAGUACUUUCAGCGGGGAGGAAGGGAGUAAAGUUAAUACCUUUGCUCAUUGACGUUACCCGCAGAAGAAGCACCGGCUAACUCCGUGCCAGCAGCCGCGGUAAUACGGAGGGUGCACGCGUUAAUCGGAAUUACUGGGCGUAAAGCGCACGCAGGCGGUUUGUUAAGUCAGAUGUGAAAUCCCCGGGCUCAACCUGGGAACUGCAUCUGAUACUGGCAAGCUUGAGUCUCGUAGAGGGGGGUAGAAUUCCAGGUGUAGCGGUGAAAUGCGUAGAGAUCUGGAGGAAUACCGGUGGCGAAGGCGGCCCCCUGGACGAAGACUGACGCUCAGGUGCGAAAGCGUGGGGAGCAAACAGG